GCAGGUAGCGCAAUGGUUAUAGUCUUUAGCUUGCAACUGAAGGACCAGGGUUCAAAUCCCUGACUCCUGCC
rnacentral:tRNA from 1 species